rnacentral:rRNA from 1 species
GAUGAACGCUGGCGGCGUGCCUAAUACAUGCAAGUCGAGCGAACAGACGAGGAGCUUGCUCCUCUGACGUUAGCGGCGGACGGGUGAGUAACACGUGGAUAACCUACCUAUAAGACUGGGAUAACUUCGGGAAACCGGAGCUAAUACCGGAUAACAUGUUGAACCGCAUGGUUCAACAGUGAAAGACGGUCUUGCUGUCGCUUAUAGAUGGAUCCGCGCCGCAUUGGCUAGUUGGUAAGGUAACGGCUUACCAAGGCAACGAUGCGUAGCCGACCUGAGAGGGUGAUCGGCCACACUGGAACUGAGACACGGUCCAGACUCCUACGGGAGGCAGCAGUAGGGAAUCUUCCGCAAUGGGCGAAAGCCUGACGGAGCAACGCCGCGUGAGUGAAGAAGGUCUUCGGAUCGUAAAACUCUGUUAUUAGGGAAGAACAAAUGUGUAAGUAACUAUGCACGUCUUGACGGUACCUAAUCAGAAAGCCACGGCUAACUACGUG